rnacentral:rRNA from 1 species
AUGUCUCGCAUCCACACACGGGAUGUGCUUUGCCGUAAGACCAUCCUCACGGCGGCGGAGGCAGGGUGCCCCUGCUGUGAUGCUGUUCUGGAGACCGCCAACCAUCUCUUUUUUGGCUGCCCGUUCGCGGUGCAGUUUUGGCGUAGCAUCGGCGUGUCGCCAAAUGAGGCUGUGGUUGGGUCUCUUCAUCGCCUGGAUGUCUCUCCGGCGGUUGGUGAUGCCUCGCCGGCAGCCUUCGUCCUACUCUGCUGCUGGAGGCUCUGGAAGCGACGGAACGCUGUCGUCUUCAGAGAGGAUCCGCAGUCCCUUGUUGCUACGUUGAAGGCCUGCAGAGAUGAGGCGGUGCUCUGGCGUGCUCGGCUGAAAGUUGCCGAUCGCUCCCACAUAGAUGUUUGGUUGUCGGUGCUUCGAAACAGGGGUGAGAUAGUCUGA